rnacentral:rRNA from 1 species
ACGUGAAGGGGGGCAACCCUGAUCCAGCAUGCCGCGUGUGUGAAGAAGGUUUUCGGAUUGUAAAGCACUUUCGGCGGGGACGAUGAUGACGGUACCCGCAGAAGAAGCCCCGGCUAACUUCGUGCCAGCAGCCGCGGUAAUACGAAGGGGGCUAGCGUUGCUCGGAAUGACUGGGCGUAAAGGGCGUGUAGGCGGUUUGUACAGUCAGAUGUGAAAUCCCCGGGCUUAACCUGGGAGCUGCAUUUGAUACGUGCAAACUAGAGUGUGAGAGAGGGUUGUGGAAUUCCCAGUGUAGAGGUGAAAUUCGUAGAUAUUGGGAAGAACACCGGUGGCGAAGGCGGCAACCUGGCUCAUAACUGACGCUGAGGCGCGAAAGCGUGGGGAGCAAACAGGAUUAGAUACCCUGGUAGUCCACGCUGUAAACGAUGUGUGCCGGAUGUUGGGUAACUUAGUUAUUCAGUGUCGUAGUUAACGCGUUAAGCACACCGCCUGGGGAGUACGGCCGCAAGGUUGAAACUCAAAG